GACGAACGCUGGCGGCGUGCUUAACACAUGCAAGUCGAACGGAAAGGCCCUGCUUUUGUGGGGUGCUCGAGUGGCGAACGGGUGAGUAACACGUGAGUAACCUGCCCUUGACUUUGGGAUAACUUCAGGAAACUGGGGCUAAUACCGGAUAGGAGCUCCUGCUGCAUGGUGGGGGUUGGAAAGUUUCGGCGGUUGGGGAUGGACUCGCGGCUUAUCAGCUUGUUGGUGGGGUAGUGGCUUACCAAGGCUUUGACGGGUAGCCGGCCUGAGAGGGUGACCGGCCACAGUGGGACUGAGAUACGGCCCAGACUCCUACGGGAGGCAGCAGUGGAGAAUAUUGCACAAUGGGCGGAAGCCUGAUGCAGCAACGCCGCGUGCGGGAUGACGGCCUUCGGGUUGUAAACCGCUUUCGCCUGUGACGAAGCGUGAGUGACGGUAAUGGGUAAAGAAGCACCGGCUAACUACGUG
rnacentral:rRNA from 1 species